GACGAACGCUGGCGGCGUGCCUAACACAUGCAAGUCGAGCGGAGCCAAUCAGCAGAUCCCUUCGGGGUGAAGCAGAGGAAGCUUAGCGGCGGACGGGUGAGUAACGCGUGAGUAACCUGCCCAUAAGAGAGGGAUAACACAGAGAAAUUUGUGCUAAUACCUCAUAUUGAAUUAGAAUCGCAUGGUUUUAAUUUGAAAGAUUUAUCGCUUAUGGAUGGACUCGCGUCUGAUUAGCUAGUUGGUGAGGUAAUGGCUCACCAAGGCGACGAUCAGUAGCCGAACUGAGAGGUUGAUCGGCCACAUUGGGACUGAGACACGGCCCAGACUCCUACGGGAGGCAGCAGUGGGGGAUACUUGCGCAAUGGGGGAAACCCUGACGCAGCAACGCCGCGUGAAGGAAGAAGGCCUUCGGGUUGUAAACUUCUGUUCUUAGGGUAAGAAGACAGUGACGGUACCUAAGGAGCAAGUCACGGCUAACUACGU
rnacentral:rRNA from 1 species